rnacentral:tRNA from 2 species
AGAAAGUUAGUCUAACUAAGACAGUUGAUUUCGACUCAACAGAUUAUAGCCACAACCCUAUAACUUUCUU